ACCACUUCCUGCCGCCGGGGAGAAUUUAUUUCAGCAUAAUAUCAGGGACCACUACUGAAAAACGAGUAACAACGACAGCAAGCACUACUACUACUACUGGUUUUAAUGUGCACACAAAAUCUUGACAAGCUGCAUCCCCUACCUGGAUAAGUAAAAGGCCAAGGUCCAUCUACAUAGCCUAUGUACGCUGUGAUGCAGACUGCCAGGAUCCCGUGCACCAGCGUGACGAGUCGACAGUUCCAUUCGUAGCUCCUGGAUCCGUUAACGUUACACAGGACAAAGUAGAAAGACACCCAGCAGGAUAGGCACAGGAGAGCACAAACGACAAGCACAGCCAUCUUCCCCUCUGAAGCAUGCCCUGUGUAUGAUGCUGCAGGCUUUCCUAGGAUAAGGUCAAACAAAGACUUGGACUUACCUGAAAGGACAAAGACGAGGAGGCCAAGGAGCUUCAGCAGA